UUUAUAAAUUUAUUUUUGAUUUUAGUAUUAAGAAAAAAUUAUUUUUAUUUUUAAGUAUUGUAAAAGAAGUAAUUUUAAUUAAUUAAAAGAAUAUUUAAUUUAUAGUAUCUUUUGUAUCAGAGUUUAUUAAAAUAAAUUUAAAUAUUUAAAUUUUUCGAAUUUUUAAGAGUUAAUUUAAUUAUUAUUUUAAUGUUUUAAAAUUAAUAUAAAAAUUAAAAUUAGAAAUGAAAAGUUAAUCGUUUAAAAAUAUAUCUAAUUUCUUUAGAAUUUAAUUUAAUUAUUUUAUUAUUAAAUUUAUUUAUUAUUUUAAAAAUUUUUAAUAAGAAAAUUAAUCGGGAUAAUUUGAUUAAUUAAUUUAUAUAUUAAAAUAAUUUUUAAAAUUUUAUAGAAUUAAGAUUUUUUAUUAGUUUUAAAUUUUUAUAAAUAAAUUUUAUUUAAUAAAAAUUUAUUAUUAUAUUAAAUUUUUUAUAAAGACAUAUUAUUUAAUAAAUUAAUAGUAAUAAUAAUGAUAAAAUUAGUAAUUUUUUAUUAAUAUUUAAAAUUAAAUUAAAUUUUAAUUUAAUGAAUUAGACAAUAUAAUUUUUACCUGUUUAUUAAAAACAUGUCUGUUAGAAUUAUAUUAAUAGUCUAAUCUGCCCGUUGAUUAAUUAAAUGGCUAUAGUAUUUUAACUAUACAAAGGUAGCAUAAUAAAUUGUUCUUUAAUUGAGAACUAGAAUGAAUGAUUUGAUAAAAAUUAAUUUUAUUAAAUUAAAUAAAUGAAAUUUUUAUUUAAGUGAAAAAACUUAAAUAAUUUAAAAAGACGAUCAGACCCUAUAAAACUUUAUUAUUAAAUUAAUUAUUUAUUAAUUUAGAUAAUUUAGUUGGGGAAAUUUUGAAAUACUUAAAUUUUUAUUAUUAUUAAUUAUUAUAAUAAAGUUUAAUGAUCUUUUAAUAAAGGAUUAAAGAAAAAGUUGCUUUAGGGAUAACAGCAUAAUUUUAUUUUAUAGUUCUUAUAGAAAAUAAAGAUUGCGACCUCG
rnacentral:rRNA from 1 species